GCAGGCUGCAACCCGCCUGUAUGAAGUUGGAANCGCUAGUAAUCGCGGAUCAGCAUGCCGCGGUGAAUACGUUCCCGGGCCUUGUACACACCGCCCGUCACACCAUGAGAGUCGGGAACACCCGAAGUCCGUAGCCUAACCGCAAGGGGGGCGCGGCCGAAGGUGGGUUCGAUAAUUGGGGUGAAGUCGUAACAAGGUAAC
rnacentral:rRNA from 1 species